CUCAGUAAAAUCAGGAGCGCGCCUGUUGAUUUCAACUGCCUGAAGUUAUCUGAGAUCUAGUUUCCCUUUGCAGGCUCCGAGCCAAACUAAAUUGACAACUCUGGUUUACAAAAAUCAAAGGACAGGAAAUAGGAAGAAAGUCAACAACUGAAGCCCAGACCAGGUAACCCAGUGCACUGGCCCAGAAAGGCAUUCUUGCCCAAACUCCUUGGACUUUGUAGUACACCAAUACAAAGCAGGACAGUGGGUGUUGAUAAAAGCCUGGAGAGAGGAAAAACUAACUCCAACCUGGGAAGGACUUUACAUCAUCUUGUUAACCACUGAGACAGCUAUCAGGACAGCUGAAAAAGGUUGGACCAUUACUCCCAAGUAAAAGGGCCUGUGCCAGCCCCAGAGGAGUGGAAGGUGGAAUCUCACCAAGGAGAUUCACUGAAGCUAAAGUUCCGAAGGACUUCAUGGACUAAUAGUCAAUCUUCCUGACAGAAAGGGGGGUAAUAGAGGAAAAAGGACUAAACUUUAUAUUUCUUUUUCUAUCUAGAACCAAAGGAAAACCAAGACCUCCUGCAUGUGCUGAUUUUGUGGGUAUCUUUGUGGGUGUUGUUGCUGUUCUCACUGUAUUAAUUGUGUUCAGUGCACAGGGUGUGAGAUAGAGUGUUAUAUUAAGUCUUAGAAGAUGUAUUGGAACAUUACAAGGUGGUAUGUCUGGGGGGGGGGUUCUUAUUAUACUCUUAAAAACUGUCCAACCAUUAGAGUCAUUUAAGCAAUGUGUAAAAAUGACAAAGGGAGAAGGAGAAAAUAUACACUAACUCCAAGUAUGUUUAUGGAGUCUUGAAUACAGGUGGAAGAAGAAAAAAGAAGAAGUUAUGCUAGAGUGGCAGAAGGGAAGAAAGGAACUGGUAAUAAAAGAAAGAAACAGGAAAGUUGUUUUAAGUUGGUUUGCACAGACUUGUGAAUUGCAUGCAUUAAGCAGGGAGACUGCCAUUAAAGUGGUCAGCCCAAACGUGUGAAUUGUAUGCCUUAACACAAGCCUUAGAAUGUUGAAGGAAUAAGAAUGUACUAAAGAUGGGAGGUGGAUGUUGCAAGAUGGGAGAGGGAUGUUGAAAAGAAAAAACAACAAUAAAACAAUGGCUAGAACACAGAAGCAGCCACUGAAGGGGGGUCGCAAGGGAUGAUUAAUAUUUUCUAAAACAGGAUGGUUGUAUUUAUACUUUAGUUAAACAAAUAUGUGAUAAAAUUCAAGUU